CACCCAGGGGAAGCGAGACUGCAUUUGAAACACCCUGAUCAGAAGUCCCACCCUAAAGAGGCAGCUAGUUCAAAGGCUCCUUUGUCAUGUUCGGCUCUAAAAACGUUCUUAUUCAGCAUAGGGAUGUUUAAAAACAUUCUUCCCCUGAUGAGAUGAGUGGUGGAUUGGCUGGACAGCACGCAGACCCAUUGCCCUAUGAGAACAGUGUGUAAGCAGCAGGCCAGCCCAGUAGCCGAAGACCGACCCCAGCGGCCUUCCUGCUCUCCUGCUUCACCUGGCCUAGGGUCCCAGGUCCCGGCAUGGCAUCGGCUGGAGGAUUCUGAGGUGUGGUCUGGAGAAGCAGUUUGCAGGAUCUGCCAAGGACCCAGAUGCCUGUGGAAGAAAGAUGAUGUGACAGAAGGGGUCCUUCUAUAAAACCCAAGAGGAGAGAGGCCCCAGAGGAAUUAGCACCCUGCCAACACCUGGGUCUUGCACUGCCAGCCUCCACGACUGUGAGAAAAUGGCUUUCUGUUGUUUAAGUCCCCCAGCCAGAGGGACCUAGUUAAGUGCAGCCCUAGAAAACUGAAGGAGUCACCAUCGUCACAUACAGAUGGAGCGAGAUCCCACAGUUACAGAGACUAUUAAGUUGCUUCUUUAGGGAGGGGGGAUGGUUAAUUAAACAGACAUAACAACUUUCAAGGAAAAAAAUUAAAAAUUAACCAUGAUCUCCCUACAUAGAAAAGAUGAAAUUUUCAAUUGCAGGCUCCCUUCAUAGCUGUUGCCGUGGUGUGAAUUCUUAAUAUUCUAUUAAGAAAUGUCCUAAUGCUUUUAGGAAGUGUCCUGAUGCUUAAAAUUUUCACGGCUUCCUUAGAUUCUCUGUUGAUGUACCACAAUUUAUACUCCUUUAUUGCUGGAAAUAUGGUCCAUGUCACCCAUAUAUUAUUUUGCUUUUUCCAUUAGGAUAACUCCCCCAGAGUGGAAAUUAUACGGGGUUAAAUUUUAUGAGCGUCUUUACACUGUGAAGUUCUUCAUUUGGGUUUUUGUUUUGUUUUGUUUUGUUUUGUUUUUAAUGCGGUGAUUUUGUAACCAACGAGUGCCCACUAGGGGGAGCCAUACUGCCUGAAAAAAUGCCCUCUGGUGGCGAAUGCCUUUGUCUGCACUUGUCGGAUCCCAGGGACAGGCAGAAGGCUAACAGGGUUGGUCUGCAAACAGACUGCGUGAGUUCUGGCCACAGUGUCCUUCACAGCCCUACCCUCAGCUUCUCUGUAAGACCUUCGUUUUGAUGAAAAUGUCAAGGAGAGAGAAAAGGACAUGAAAGUUCCAUUAUUGAGCAGAAAAGAGACAGAAGGAGUCAGGGAGAGUCCUUUACCUGUCUGUGUUCCUACCAGUGGGACAGGGUCAUACCCACAGGCAGGCCGACAGUUAGUAGACAGUGACUGAACUUCCUGAGCACCUGCCCUGUGCCAGCCCCCCCGCAGCCCCCCAUUCCAUGGCAUGGUGUGAAUAAGACAUACGUCAUGGGUGUCAGAAGUAAGUGAGCAAAACUUUUAAAUAGCAAUGUUUUCGCUAGCUAAAGCUUUUAAUAACUACAGAGAAGUAAAAGAAGGAUGACACUAACAAAGGACCAGUGAAAGGGCCGGUUAGGCUGAGGCAGGAUGGACCAGGGAGGUCUCUCUGGGAAGGCAACAUCCAGUUAGUUGUGAACGACAAGAGAGAGGCAGUGCACGGAGGGCUGGAGGCAGGGAGACUCAUGUACAAGAAACAGCAAGUACAAAGGUCCUGAGCCCAGAAUGUUUCGGGGUCCAUAAGGAACAGAAAGACUUCCAUGGGGCUCGAGUGUCCAUGACAGGGAGAGUAGAGGGAGGUGAAGUUCAAGACACAGGCAGGGUCAGGUGGUGCAGAGCCCGAGGUGUCUGAGGAAGAGUUGGGGCUCUACUCUGGUACAGUGGGAAGCCCAGAUAGUCUCAAACGGGGGAUAACAAGAGCUAAGUAAGCUUUUACAGGAUCCCUCUAGUGGCUGCAGACUACAGGAGCCAAGGAUGGGGACAAGAGCAGCAAUGAGACGAUGCGUGUGGAGCCCCGGCAGAGUUCAUGGUCAAACUUUGGGAACACAGCCCCAAGAGUGGAUGAUGAUAUACAAGACACCUCAAAUUCCCGAACAUACGUCAUGAUGCGCCACAGCCCACUCCUCACCACUGACACGUUCACCCAGGACUGAGUGUGAACAAGUCUUCCUGUGCCCUGACCCUGAGAAGCACAGUCCCCACACACCAGAAGGUUAAUUUGGGCUUUGUGGAGUUUUAAAGGCCUCUCCAGGCCACACGCUCAUCUAACACACUCCACAGGGACCGUCCUGAAGGUCCAGCUUUAGAUGGGACAGGUUGUCAGAUACAAGCACCACCUGGCCUUGGGUAUUCUGUGUUCUCCACGGGAUUUGGGAGAUGCCUCUUUGAGGUUUUCCCAGGCCUGUGAUCAUCUUUAUUUUCUGUCCAAGCCUUUACUGCCUUAAUUUUUUCACAGGAAUGGAAUAUUAAUGUUUUAAAUCUUCAGGAGCUGAUUUUUUUUCAAACAUGGGCAUUCCCCUAUGAACUCAUCUCAGCCUCUCUUCAUUACUACCAAAUACAACGGAUCAAUUCUAAGCAAUAAAAUGCACCACCUCAAAUUCUUCCUACCCACAAAUUUUUAGAUAUAGACGCAGAAGGACCAGUUUUCACGCAAUCGGCCAUAGCCCAAGAGUGUGUUUAGGAUUAAUGGAAACACCUGCCCGAUGCCCUGGCUAGACCCAUUGCCUUGACCAGUGGACUCCCAUGCCACUUAGCAGAACACCAGGCCGCUCUCUGUAAACACAUGCUUUCUGGAACAAGACUGAAGGAUCCCUCCCUGCAGAGUCAGUCGGUGCGGGAGAAGGCAGCAUGGGAAACCACUCCUCUUUCAGGAAGCCUGGAGUGUUCUCACCUUCAGACUUCAGGUUAUCCCAGUUCCUGGGUUGCUGUCUCUAUGGUAGGGGCAAACCCCAUUUAAUUGGCAACAGUGUCUUGAAUAGAACAGCCACUUUACUGCAUCCGAGGGAAUCAUGACAUCCUCGGUGGUGGUUUCCUAUCAACCUGCAGACUGUUCUAAUUUAUAUGGUCACUAAAACUGAGGGAACAUUCAGAAAAAUGGCUUUCAACUAAAAAAAUGAAGAUAGCUGUACUUCACCGAACAGAGCCAGGAUGAAAUACAAUCUCUGUGUGUGGAGCAGCCGGCAUGGUGUCUGGCUGGCUCAAGGCUCGCCCUCACUGGGCGGCGUGCUGAUGACUUCCUGCUCCGAGUGUGGUCCCCUUACCUGCGCGCUUAUUAGACAUGCAGAAGCUCAGGCCCAGGCAGAUGGACUGAAUCAGAACCCGCAUGUAACCAAGAUUCUGGGAGAUUCCCAUGAGAAGCAUUGUCUGAGAUCUAUGGGAUACCUGAGGGCAGGCGGGAGGUGAGAUGUCACCUUUAGUGGCGGUCCUCUCUCUGAGCACACAGCUGCCAGGUAGGUAAGGAACUGGCUUCAAGACUGUUGAUAAAGCAAAAAUUCUCAGUCCUGAAAACCCA